rnacentral:rRNA from 1 species
AGAGUUUGAUCAUGGCUCAGGACGAACGCUGGCGGCGUGCUUAACACAUGCAAGUCGAACGGAAAGGCCCUUCGGGGUACUCGAGUGGCGAACGGGUGAGUAACACGUGGGUGAUCUGCCCUGCACUUUGGGAUAAGCCUGGGAAACUGGGUCUAAUACCGAAUAGGACCACUUAACGCAUGUUUUGUGGUGGAAAGCUUUUGCGGUGUGGGAUGGGCCCGCGGCCUAUCAGCUUGUUGGUGGGGUAAUGGCCUACCAAGGCGACGACGGGUAGCCGGCCUGAGAGGGUGUCCGGCCACACUGGGACUGAGAUACGGCCCAGACUCCUACGGGAGGCAGCAGUGGGGAAUAUUGCACAAUGGGCGCAAGCCUGAUGCAGCGACGCCGCGUGGGGGAUGACGGCCUUCGGGUUGUAAACCUCUUUCAGUAUCGGCGAAGCUCCAGGAUUUUUCUUGGGGUGACGGUAGGUACAGAAGAAGCACCGGCCAACUACGUGCCAGCAGCCGCGGUAAUACGUAGGGUGCGAGCGUUGUCCGGAAUUACUGGGCGUAAAGAGCUCGUAGGUGGUUUGUCACGUUGUCCGUGAAAACUCACAGCUUAACUGUGGGCGUGCGGGCGAUACGGGCAGACUGGAGUACUGUAGGGGAGACUGGAAUUCCUGGUGUAGCGGUGGAAUGCGCAGAUAUCAGGAGGAACACCGGUGGCGAAGGCGGGUCUCUGGGCAGUAACUGACGCUGAGGAGCGAAAGCGUGGGGAGCGAACAGGAUUAGAUACCCUGGUAGUCCAA